AGAAUCAACGCUGGCGGCGUGCCUAACACAUGCAAGUCGAACGAGAAAGGGGAGCAAUCCCUGAGUAGGUAGUGGGCGACGACGGGUGGGUAACACGUGAAUAAUCUACCUCCGAGUGGGGAAUAACUGAGAGAAAUCUUAGCUAAUACCGCAUAACACUUACGAGUCAAAGCAGCAAUGCGCUUGGAGAGGAGUUCGCGGCCGAUUAGUUAGUUGGCGGGGUAAUGGCCCACCAAGACGAUGAUCGGUA
rnacentral:rRNA from 1 species